GCUUUGAGGUAGUUAUAUUGGGAUUUGAUCAGUUGCCUGAAAUCCUGGUCUGCCGACAUUAUUGCAAUGUCUAGGAGGGUAAGAGAGUAAAAUAGUUUUAGAAGUUUGUAUUUAAAUGCUAAAUAAUCAGAUUAAAUCUAGCGAACUUGGAGGCGUUAGGCCUGUCUGGGCCACCCGCCUCCAAAAAGCCUGUCUGGGCUUGGUUCGCAUCUCCCUCCCAUGUCUCCUCCCCAUCGAGACAGGAAUGAGACAUCGGAGGGAGCGAGUUAUAAAUUACAUUCAAAAACAAGCCUCUAAAAAGGAUCCUGUGCGUAAAAUGGUAUGUCAAGUCCGAUGGCUCUGGCAAAGGUUAGGUUUUGAAAAAUUACAACAGCUCCCCCCGACCUAGCACCCGUCUAGGAAGGUUUGGAGUAGGGAGACUGAGGAUGCGUGCAAGGGCCUACGCCUGUUAGACUAUACCAGGAAAGCAUUGAUCCAUCUCCUUUCCAGGAGAAUAGCCUAUUUGGGCAUUGGGCUGAGAAUGUGGAGGACCAGGAGGUAGGGAGAUUGAGAAAAGGAUAUUCCUGUUGGUUUUGUUUUGUUCCCUUCUAAGAGAUUAGCCUAACUGGGCGUUGGAUAUUCGGUUUGGGAAGGCUAGGUUUCAGGUCCAUAAGUCUACGAACGGUAGGUUUUGGGUAAGUGUUGGUUCAGGGCUAGAUUUAGAUCUUUUUAGCGACGAGGUUGUUGUUGUUUAUUUGAUCUAUCGAUGUUGAUUUUGGUAGGCAGACUUUGCCAUGUUAGAUCUGAAAGUCAACUGGAUCUGGGAAAGCAAAGUUUUUGGCUGAACUUGCUCCGGACCAGCGAAUCAAACUGCAACUCGAAAGUCACUGCCCGAUAAUCCUGAUCCAGCAUCACGUUCCGUCAGCGACUGCUGCUCGAAGUCGAGGAAGAUUUGAGAUCCGAUGGUUUGCAUGUAAAACUAUAUUCUU